UCCCAGGUGGUCCAGUGUUUAGGACACUGCUCCUUCACUGCUGAGGACACAGGUUCAAUCCCUGGCUGGGGAA
rfam:TPA: Bos taurus chromosome 19, whole genome shotgun sequence.